AAUGGAGUUAAACAAAAAUGUCAGAAUGUCAGACAAAAUGCACGAACUGCGUAUUUUGUUGUGCUAAUUUCAGUCUAUAAUUAAAAAUUAUGUUUGUAAAUGUGUAAAUAAUUAACGAAUCCCUUUUUGUUUUAUUUUUUGAACAAAUUCUGUGAUUUUGAUCGAACAUUUUGGUGUGGAUGUGAAGUGUAAAUAUAAUGUACGAACGGGCAUCGAUUCUUUGUGAUUUGUUUUAGAAAUAUUUCACAAAAGAUUACAAACAUCGGAGUUAACCCACCAAACAAACAUAGACAUGGUAGUUCGCCGGUCGAACCUUACAUGUGCAAGUUGAUACAACGAGACGAUGGGACAACAGACGUCUAGGAAGAGCGGGGAGUGCACUUGCGGGUGCGGUGCGUGGGAGCGGCGCCGGUACGCGGAGUCUCCCAGUAGCGUGCACAGAUACGUCAGCGCGGUCACUGACAGAUGGAGCGGGCGCGAGUGCGCGUGUCGCCGGCGACGGUGGCGCCGCCCCGCGUGUGUGUGCACGGCCUACAGACGCGUCAGUGACGAUAGACUGGCGGCAGUACUGACACUUGGUGCUAGAGACCUGAGGCGGGAGCUGGACGCGAUUGUCAUAAAUACAGAUGGUGACACGAGCAGAGAGAGCGGUGAGCCCACCGCGGAAGUAUAUGUGUUAUCCGUUGCACCCAGGACAGCGGAAGGAGAGAGUUCCCAAGAGAGGAGGACGGAGUUGACGCAGACUAACGAUGCCAUACGGCUGCACCCGCACUUCCAGGUGGUGUGUGGCGGCGAGCUGCGUGCACUACUACUGCGCGGCGCGGCGCUGCCCAACGUGCAGCCCCCACCCGCCGCCAGGGUACACACGCAGGUGGACUACAUCCACUGCCUGGUGCCGGACCUGAAGGAGAUCACGGCGUGCUCCUUCUACUGGGGCAAGAUGGACCGCUACGAGGCCGAGCGCCUGCUCGACAACAAGCCCGAAGGUACGUUCCUCCUCCGAGACUCCGCCCAGGAGGAGCACCUGUUCAGCGUGUCGUUCCGCAAGUACGGGCGCUCGCUGCACGCGCGCAUCGAGCACUACCAGCACACCUUCAGCUUCGACUCGCACGACCCCGCCGUCUUCGCCGCGCCCACCGUCACCAAGCUCAUCGAGCAUUACAAGGACCCCGCGUGCGUGAUGUUCUUCGAGCCGAUGCUGACGGCGCCGCUGCCGCGCAGCGAGCCGUUCUCGCUGCAGCAACUGGCGCGGGCAGUCAUCGUCUCGCACACUAGCUACGACGGAGUGGAGAAGCUCCCCUCCCGCCCCGCCUGCGGCUGUACCUCAAGGAGUACCACUACAGACAAAGGGUCCGCAUUCGACGCCUGGAGCCGGACCUGUACGAGCACCACCACUGCUAGCGCCGCUGGUAUAUAUACCGAUAUGUUAUACAUAUAUAUGUGUUACACAACGCCCCAGAUUAUGUAGUAAUGGUCGAAUAGUCAUGUUUUGAAAGUCAAAUAUUCCUUAAAAAAGCCGACUUUAUCUCUUAAUUUUUUGUUUCUAAAAUUGUUGAUUUAUGUACUAAAUUCUGUUCCUAAGUGUAAUAGACACGUUUCUGAAAAUCACAUUCAAAAUGGGUUCAGCUGAUCGUGAGAUAAUCGCAGACAUACAUACAAGUUAAACUGAGAAACUCCUACUUUUGUUGAAGUCGGUCAAAAAUUUGGCUAAUUUUAGUUCAAGUUAUGAAAGAUUCUAUGUGUUUUGUUAUAAGGCCUAUAGUUGCCUGAAAUAUAGAAUAAAAUAAAUAUUAAAAAUGUUCCAUUAUAGACAGUUUUUGUAAAACUAAAUUGACCUAUCGAAGCAUGACUAUAAACAAAUACAUGUCGCAAACCUAUUUUGAAACCUAUAUCUAUUGGAAUAGGUGUUAAAAUAUUUUGAUUUACAUCUUGACGUGUAAUACGGGGGCACAUUGGCUUUAGUUUGAAAUGACAAGUUUAUUGAAAUAUCGAGGUAUUGUUAUAGUAAAGAAAGUGGAUCAAAAACUGUCUGUAA